rnacentral:rRNA from 1 species
UACGUAGGGGGCUAGCGUUGUCCGGAAUCAUUGGGCGUAAAGAGCGUGUAGGCGGCCCGGUAAGUCCGCUGUGAAAGUCAAAGGCUCAACCUUUGAAUGUCAGUGGAUACUGCCGGGCUAGAGUCCGGAAGAGGCGAGUGGAACUCCUGGUGUAGCGGUGAAAUGCGCAGAUAUCAGGAGGAACACCAAUGGCGAAGGCAGCUCGCUGGGACGGUACUGACGCUGAGACGCGAAAGCGUGGGGAGCAAACAGG